CCUACGGGUGGCAGCAGUGAGGAAUAUUGGUCAAUGGCCGGAAGGCUGAACCAGCCAUGCCGCGUGAAGGUCAGUGCCCUAUGGGCGUUAAACUUCUUUUUUUCGGGAGCAAUAAUGGUCACGUUUGGCCAGACGAGAGUACCGUACGAAUAAGCAUCGGCUAACUCCGUUCCAGCAGCCGCGGUAAUACGGGGGAUGCAAGCGUUAUCCGGAUUUAUUGGGUUUAAAGGGUGCGAAGGCGGAGGCACAAGUCAGCGGUAAAAUCGCGGGGCUCAACCCCGCUCCGCCGUUGAAACUGUGUCCCUUGAGUGCGCGAAGGGUAGGCGGAAUGCGUGGUGUAGCGGUGAAAUGCAUAGAUAGCACGCAGAACUCCGAUCGCGAAGGCAGCCUACCGGCGCGCAACUGACGCUCAUGCACGAAAGCGUGGGUAUCGAACAGGAUUAGAUACCCCAGUAGUC
rnacentral:rRNA from 1 species